GUGGUGUGAUCCUUUCAAUUGUUUGGGAAAGAUACCCAGCAGAGGAAUAGCUGGGUCGAAUGAGACUUUUAAUCCUAGUUGUUUGAGCUAUUUCUGUAUUGAUUUCUACAGUGGUUGCAAAUAAACAUAUGAUAAAAUGUUCAGCAUCACCAGUCAUUUAAGAGAUGCAGAUGAAAACCACACUGAGAUUCCACCUCACCCCAGAAAGAAUGGCUACUAUCAAUAAAUCAACCAAUAACAAAUGUUGGCAGGGUUGUGGGAAGAAAGGAACCUUUCUUCAUUUGUUGCCAGGCAACGGUAAGGACCAGAGCUGCCUGAAGCCACUGGAACAGCCCCACCCCCAUCCAGGCUUCCCAGCUGUGAGCCAAAGAGUCUGAAGACCCUGCUGGGCACAGCACUUCUAAAAGGCAAAUACGUCCAGAAGAUGCAGAACCAUUCUGCUGGUUCUAAGUGGGGUCUCCAGAACCAAAGAUAGCACCUGGCUCUUCUUAAAAUCAGAGUGGUUAUACCCAGAAUGAAACUGAAUUGCAUGAUGUAUAUAUACAACAAAAAUACAGCACAGUGAUUCCUGUCAGCAAACUAAGCAAAACCAGAAUGACCUGGAGAAAAGCAACAUGGCUAUGAAAAUGACGAC
rnacentral:lncRNA from 1 species